AAAUGUCAAGAUCAUCCACAGAGUUCUUAGGCUUUUUGGCUCGACGGGUUUCAAAGUGACAGAUGUGAGUUUCAAAUGUCUGCAAGAGCCAAGUGUUCAUAUGAUGAAGCUUCUCCAAACACUGAAAAUCCAGGACUAACUAAGCUAUUGGCAUGGCAACACUGCUCCUGGUAUAGGCCAACUAUGUCGAAACUGGAAUCUGCCAAGCUUGAACACCUCAUUUUCCUUUCAUUAGUGCAAAAGCUUUAUGCGGGACCUCUAGUGCGAACUGCAGUAGAAGUGCUGCAUCAGAAGGAAGAUUGCCACCUGUUCAGUUGUGACACUUCCUGCAGCAUCUCUGUGUCUCCUGAGUCCCCAUCCAUCCAGCCCAGCUCUUGCAUCGGGAGGACCAAGAGGAAAAGCAGCUGGAAGUGAUGUGUCAGCUGGCUAAUGGAACCCAUUUACACCUCAAGCAACCACAAGGGAAAACGAUGACAGGAAUCUGGCAAAAGUCAAAACAAAUGUAUGUUGUACUGAAACUUUAUGGUAGUGUGACCAAAGCUGUCAUCUCAAAUACUGUCCAUCCAUUGCUUUUUCCUUCUGUUUUCACCCACAACAGCCAAAACUGAUCUCAAGGACAAAACUGGCUCCAUUGUCUGUCCAAUGGAUCGAGAUUUUGGUUUUCACUGUCUGCAAGGAAACUGCUCAAAAAAACCUGCAGUUAUAUAUUUAAAAUAUUCUUGCUAUACCAUGCCGUGAGGAUCAACUUAUAUGAGAUUGAUUUGAAUAUGUGUGACAAAUGAAGAAUUUGUGGUUUUCAGACUUGCAGGGGAUAUAAUGCAAAGUUGAAGUCCUGCAAAGUAAUUCUGAUGAUAAUAAUUGAUCUCUUCAUACAUGACAUGACACAAAAAAAAGCCUUAGAAAACCUUUCCAAACUCAUUGGUCACUAGCUUUGAUUUGUUGAAAUCAGCUGCUUUCCAUCUGUCCUCAGUCAUUUUCCCACUCUUGUAAAUUGAUUUAGAUCGGUGCUUAUGAGAAAGACAAGUAGCAGUAGGGAGUAGGCACUAAUGCUGUAAACAGCCUCAUGCUUGCUUAACUUCUUGCACACCUGAAUACGCACUCAGUUCCCUGGAAGGUCUUUUAACAAGCAUCAUUCCAUGCCUGAGCCUGUCACAGAGGUGACAUCUUUAAUUACAAAGGGGGAGAAGACUAAAAUUAUUGUUUUCCUGGUCCCCAGUUCUUAUCAGGAUAUAUGAAGGCAGCCAGCACCAAUACACACUGCAGAUAAUAAACCUCAACACGUGCACUGGAGGUGAUAGCAGCAAAAAGAAAGAAUCAGAAAAUUAUUGUUGAGCUUUUUGUAGUAGUUAAGCAUAGCUUUAACUGUUGAUUAGUUUUUCUAUUCUCAUUUUGGAGUUUAACUUCUCGUCCCUCAACACAGAUAGAGGAACUGCAACUUUGGAGUAGUUCUACUGUUUUUUUAUUAUUGUGAUUAUGAUCCAGAGUUGAAGAAAGUUUAUUGUGUUGAAAUAUUGUCUCUGUGAUAUGUGAUUUAUACUGUGCAUAAAUUCAGCUCUAAUUUUUCUCCAGCUGUUUUUUUCCAGUAAAUAAAAUGAGAACCAGUUGAAGAGCAUGAACAACCA